UGCUGGAGGUAUCAGAAGUGCGAAUGCUGACAUAAGUAACGAUAAAGCGGGUGAAAAGCCCGCUCGCCGGAAGACCAAGGGUUCCUGUCCAACGUUAAUCGGGGCAGGGUGAGUCGACCCCUAAGGCGAGGCCGAAAGGCGUAGUCGAUGGGAAACAGGUUAAUAUUCCUGUACUUGGUGUUACUGCGAAGGGGGGACGGAGAAGGCUAUGUUAGCCGGGCGACGGUUGUCCCGGUUUAAGCAUGUAGGCUGGUUAUCCAGGCAAAUCCGGAUAAUCAAGGCUGAGGUGUGAUGACGAGGCACUACGGUGCUGAAGUAACAAAUGCCCUGCUUCCAGGAAAAGCCUCUAAGCAUCAGGUAACAUCAAAUCGUACCCCAAACCGACACAGGUGGUCAGGUAGAGAAUACCAAGGCGCUUGAGAGAACUCGGGUGAAGGAACUAGGCAAAAUGGUGCCGUAACUUCGGGAGAAGGCACGCUGGUGUGUAGGUGAAGUCCCUGCGGAUGGAGCUGAGACCAGUCGAAGAUACCAGCUGGCUGCAACUGUUUAUUAAAAACACAGCACUGUGCAAACACGAAAGUGGACGUAUACGGUGUGACGCCUGCCCGGUGCCGGAAGGUUAAUUGAUGGGGUUAUCCGUAAGGAGAAGCUCUUGAUCGAAGCCCCGGUAAACGGCGGCCGUAACUAUAACGGUCCUAAGGUAGCGAAAUUCCUUGUCGGGUAAGUUCCGACCUGCACGAAUGGCGUAAUGAUGGCCAGGCUGUCUCCACCCGAGACUCAGUGAAAUUGAACUCGCUGUGAAGAUGCAGUGUACCCGCGGCAAGACGGAAAGACCCCGUGAACCUUUACUAUAGCUUGACACUGAACAUUGAGCCUUGAUGUGUAGGAUAGGUGGGAGGCUUUGAAGCGUGGACGCCAGUCUGCGUGGAGCCAACCUUGAAAUACCACCCUUUAAUGUUUGAUGUUCUAACGUUGGCCCCUUACCGGGGUUGCGGACAGUGUCUGGUGGGUAGUUUGACUGGGGCGGUCUCCUCCCAAAGCGUAACGGAGGAGCACGAAGGUUAGCUAAUCCUGGUCGGACAUCAGGAGGUUAGUGCAAUGGCAUAAGCUAGCUUGACUGCGAGCGUGACGGCGCGAGCAGGUGCGAAAGCAGGUCAUAGUGAUCCGGUGGUUCUGAAUGGAAGGGCCAUCGCUCAACGGAUAAAAGGUACUCCGGGGAUAACAGGCUGAUACCGCCCAAGAGUUCAUAUCGACGGCGGUGUUUGGCACCUCGAUGUCGGCUCAUCACAUCCUGGGGCUGAAGUAGGUCCCAAGGGUAUGGCUGUUCGCCAUUUAAAGUGGUACGCGAGCUGGGUUUAGAACGUCGUGAGACAGUUCGGUCCCUAUCUGCCGUGGGCGCUGGAGAAUUGAGGGGGGCUGCUCCUAGUACGAGAGGACCGGAGUGGACGCAUCACUGGUGUUCGGGUUGUCAUGCCAAUGGCACUGCCCGGUAGCUAAAUGCGGAAGAGAUAAGUGCUGAAAGCAUCUAAGCACGAAACUUGCCCCGAGAUGAGUUCUCCCUGAGACUUUAAGUCUCCUGAAGGAACGUUAAAGACGAUGACGUUGAUAGGCCGGGUGUGUAAGCGCAGCGAUGCGUUGAGCUAACCGGUACUAAUGAACCGUGAGGCUUAACCUUACAACGCCGAAG
rnacentral:rRNA from 1 species